AGUGAACGCUGGCGGUAGGCCUAACACGUGCAAGUCGAACGGCAGCACAGUAAGAGCUUGCUCUUACGGGUGGCGAGUGGCGGACGGGUGAGGAAUACAUCGGAAUCUACUUUUUCGUGGGGGAUAACGUAGGGAAACUUACGCUAAUACCGCAUACGACCUACGGGUGGAAGCAGGGGAUCUUCGGACCUUGCGCGAUUGAAUGAGCCGAUGUCGGAUUAGCUAGUUGGCGGGGUAAAGGCCCACCAAGGCGACGAUCCGUAGCUGGUCUGAGAGGAUGAUCAGCCACACUGGAACUGAGACACGGUCCAGACUCCUACGGGAGGCAGCAGUGGGGAAUAUUGGACAAUGGGCGCAAGCCUGAUCCAGCCAUACCGCGUGGGUGAAGAAGGCCUUCGGGUUGUAAAGCCCUUUUGUUGGGAAAGAAAAGCAGCAGGUUAAUACCCCGCUGUUCUGACGGUACCCAAAGAAUAAGCACCGGCUAACUUCGU
rnacentral:rRNA from 1 species